rnacentral:rRNA from 1 species
GACGGUAUUUAACCAGAAAGCCACGGCUAACUACGUGCCAGCAGCCGCGGUAAUACGUAGGUGGCAAGCGUUGUCCGGAUUUAUUGGGCGUAAAGCGAGCGCAGGCGGUUUUUUAAGUCUGAUGUGAAAGCCUUCGGCUCAACCGAAGAAGUGCAUUGGAAACUGGGAAACUUGAGUGCAGAAGAGGACAGUGGAACUCCAUGUGUAGCGGUGAAAUGCGUAGAUAUAUGGAAGAACACCAGUGGCGAAGGCGGCUGUCUGGUCUGUAACUGACGCUGAGGCUCGAAAGUAUGGGUAGCAAACAGGAUUAGAU